rnacentral:rRNA from 1 species
GGCUCAGGAUGAACGCUAGCUACAGGCUUAACACAUGCAAGUCGAGGGGAAACGACAUCGAAAGCUUGCUUUUGAUGGGCGUCGACCGGCGCACGGGUGAGUAACGCGUAUCCAACCUGCCCAUCACUUGGGGAUAACCUUGCGAAAGUAAGACUAAUACCCAAUGAUAUCUCUAGAAGACAUCUGAAAGAGAUUAAAGAUUUAUCGGUGAUGGAUGGGGAUGCGUCUGAUUAGCUUGUUGGCGGGGUAACGGCCCACCAAGGCAACGAUCAGUAGGGGUUCUGAGAGGAAGGUCCCCCACAUUGGUACUGAGACACGGACCAAACUCCUACGGGAGGCAGCAGUGAGGAAUAUUGGUCAAUGGGCGGAAGCCUGAACCAGCCAAGUCGCGUGAGGGAUGACGGUCCUACGGAUUGUAAACCUCUUUAGCCGGGGAGUAAAGUGAGCGACGUGUCGCUCAUUGAGAGUACCCGGAGAAUAAGCAUCGGCUAACUCCGUG